rnacentral:lncRNA from 1 species
CACCUGCCAGAUGCCAGCCAGAACUCUCCUGUAUGAGGUGUCUAUCGGCCCCUAUUGGGAGGUGUCUUCCAGUCAGGAUACACAGGGGUGCAAUACUACUGCUGAUCAGCAUGGGAUUUUGACCUGCUCAUUUCCAACCUGGGCCAGUUCGUUCCUCCUUAGGCAACCUAGUAGUCUCCCAUUGCCAGAAGGUCACCAUACUGAUGCUGAACUUAGUGCAGAAACCUGAUGGGCAUAGUGCACAACAGCCCAGAACUCCUGGACUCAAGCAAUCUCCUGCCUCAUAUUUGGGACUACAUGCCUGCACUACCAUGCCUGCCUCUGUUUCAAUUUUUAUCUUUGUUCCAUUGUAUAUAAUGUAUCUUUUUUCUUUGGCUGCUUUUAAACUUGUCUCUUUUUCAUUGUUUUUCAGCAGUUUGAUUGAUGGGUUUGGUGUGGUUUUUCACAAUUACUUCUUGAUUGGGGUUUGUGCUUCUUGGUUCUGUGGAUUUAUAGUUUUCCUCAAAUUUGGGUAAAUUUCAGCCGUUCGUUUUUCAGAUGUUUGUUCUGACUCUCCUUCUCUCUUUGGGGCUCCAAUUAUAUAUGCAUUAGACAAUGUGAUAUUUUAUGGGUCACUGAGGCUUUGUUCUCUCUCUCUCAGCAGCAAUCUCACCCUUCUCUAGCUUUUUCCCCAUUUUCUUGCACACAGGUGUUUCUCCUAAUAAAAUCUUUGCACACUUAA